UGAUGCUCUUGAGGAAAGUCUGGGCUUUGUUGGGGAAAAUGUCGGGAUAUGUGAGGUGAAGAAAAAGGAGGUCAAAGCAGACGACCGUGCAAUGCAAAGCGCAAGCAACAAUUCCAAAUAUGAUGCCCGCAAGAAGCCAGAGCGUAUUGAUGUUGACGAUUGGGCAAUGGCGCCACAGAUAGAGCAACUGCAGUCAAGGGUGAAA
rnacentral:ribozyme from 1 species